rnacentral:rRNA from 1 species
UGGGAACAUACCCUUCGGUUCGGAAUAACUCAGGGAAACUUGGGCUAAUACCGGAUACGUCCGUGAGGAGAAAGAUUCAUCGCCGAAGGAUUGGCCCGCGUAAGAUUAGCUAGUUGGUGAGGUAACGGCUCACCAAGGCUAUGAUCUUUAGCUGGUCUGAGAGGACGAUCAGCCACACUGGGACUGAGACACGGCCCAGACUUCUACGGGAGGCAG